rnacentral:lncRNA from 1 species
ACCAACCCAUUCACAGAUUUUGACAGAAACACCAUCAAUUGGAAGAUCAAAAGCAGGGAACUCUAUGAGGUCUUCCACUUUCUUCCACAGAGGGAAUCUCAGCAGGAAUUUCCUCUCUUCAAGCUCCCUGUUCUGCCAAGGCCACUCUUUUCCCUUACAAAAAAUGCCAUUCAGUUGGGUAAUUAAAUCUGAAGCAGAAACCUCACCCUUCAGGACUUUAAGAAUAGCACAGUUCUUAAAGUUCAGCCAAUUGGAUUCAGCAGCCAUGGGGAUAUCUAUAUGAUAGAAACCCAAUCCUGUAGCUGCACUCCCAAAGAAUUCAGCAGAUGGUUGAAGUUUAGCCCAGGCAAUGCAGUUGUUGACAUUAUGAAACCUAGAGCAGAUGAAACAC